rnacentral:rRNA from 1 species
AGGGCUUGACAUAUACUGGACCGCCUGUGAAAGCAGGUUUUCCCUUUGGGACCGGUAUACAGGUGCUGCAUGGCUGUUGUCAGCUCGUGCCGUGAGGUGUUCGGUUAAGUCCGGCAACGAGCGCAACCCGCGUCGUCAGUUGCUACCAGGUAAUGCUGGGCACUCUGGCGAGACUGCCCGUGUCAAGCGGGAGGAAGGCGCGGAUGAGGUCAAGUCCGUAUGGCCCUUACGCCCUGGGCUGCACACGUGCUACAAUGGGCGGUACAAUGGGACGCAACGUCGCGAGGCUGAGCAAAUCCCCAAAACCGUCCUCAGUUCGGAUUGGAGUCUGCAACUCGACUCCAUGAAGC